UGCAGUCGUACGAGAGUUUUUAACUCAAGUGGCGGACGGGUGAGUAACACGUAAGAAUUUGCCUUUAGGAGGGGGAUAACAACUGGAAACGGUUGCUAAUACCCCAUAUGCUUUCGAGUGAAAUGGUUUUUCCGCCUAAAGAGAAGCUUGCGGCUGAUUAGCUUGUUGGGGAGGUAAUGGCUCACCAAGGCGACGAUCAGUAUCUGGUUUGAGAGGACGAUCAGACACACUGGAACUGAGACACGGUCCAGACUCCUACGGGAGGCAGCAGUGGGGAAUUUUCCGCAAUGGGCGAAAGCCUGACGGAGCAAUACCGCGUGAGGGAUGACGGCCUAUGGGUUGUAAACCUCUUUUUUCAGGGAGGAAUAAAUGACGUGUACCUGAGGAAUAAGCAUCGGCUAACUCCGUGCCAGCAGCCGCGGUAAUACG
rnacentral:rRNA from 1 species